AGCGUUGUGGCUCAGUGGUAGAGCGCGUACGAGCGGUCAACUGAUCCAAGAGUACGAGGUCGUCGGUUCAAAUCCAACCAAUGCGA